rnacentral:lncRNA from 1 species
AUUGGAGAUCUACUUACACCGUGUAGGUUUUACCUCUUCGAGUGGAUCAACAAAUGUCCGUACAUCGUUGACCAUUAUGGACUCCAUUUUGAACUUUAUGGCUUCAAGCCACUAAUCGAAGUCAGACCUUUGCAUGACAUCCAUAUAGGUGAUCAAAUUCUUGUUAUUCUUAUUGAGUUCAAUAGGAUCACGUCUCAGACCUAGAUACCAAAGUGUCUAUCCAACGGAUGUGGUACUUUGUCGGAUCUCUUUAAUGAUGCCUUUACAAUAGAUUUCAGAUUUGAUCUAAUCAAAUCUGAUUC